UAUGCGUAUGCUUUCACUUUGUUAUUUUCUUAUUUUAAUAACCGUAGUAAUUCCGGCUGUUUGGAGGCCGCAAGCAACCAGAGGAGGAGGAAGUUUUUUUUUGGGGGGAAUUCAGCGCAUCGUAAACUUUGCCGGCAAUUUCGACUGGAUUUUCAUUGUCAUGGAUUGUGCUACCUAUAUCCUACAAAUCUACAACAUGAAAGACAUCAGGUGCGUAAUGCCCUGACCCUGAAUAUUCUUAUCUGCUUAAAUACACAUGCAUAGGCAACGGUGUGGAAUUGAUGUUGAACAAAUUUGAUAACUGGUCAACGCGAAUGGAUAACCAUGUGUCGCGAUUUGAACUUAAUAAAAUAAACGGUAUAAACCAUGUGUUACAAUUGCAUUAUGGAAUGGAACCUCCCCAUAUCGUUCCUCCGGAAUCCCUGAGAACCCUCGAAGCACCGGAUCGGAUUUAUAAGAAACGGUGUCCUUUUGGGAAUUGCCAAAAAGUCUUAACGGAUUCGCCUAGUAUACGGUACGCCAUACGAACAAUCUUGUGCUAUGCGACAACAAUGGACCCAUCCCUUUCCAAUGCGAAGGCUUCACUUUGGACAAUGAGACAUUCGUCAUGCUGACGAGGACAAAUUCGCCUUCCUUUCGUGUUGGUGAUCUGAUUUUGCAAAUCAAUGAAAAGAAGCGUAUUACAAACAGCCCUCGUCUAAAAAGUCGUCUUACUGAAAGCACCACCGAAAGAACGUUGAAAAUUCAGUACAUACACAAGAUCGGAUCUGACAUGGAAACGGGGCACUUUCUUGAUUCUCUAACGCACCCACACAAGAAUUCAUGCGUUUUAAAUUAAUAUUGACUUACAGUAGCUUAUGCAGUGCUUCCUGUACAAAGUAACUGGGUAUAAAAAUCCAAAGAAUUUGUUCUUAACUGUAAUAGCACUAGUGGUACUCUUAUUAGCACAUUAUUGUGCAUAAACGCAUUACAGGCCUAUAGUCGGAAUGAACGUGGCUGACUUCUAAC